rnacentral:pre_miRNA from 1 species
AGAGGUGACGGGGCGCUCCCUUCAGUCCAACCAAGGGCCGUGUGGGGAUGAUUUAACUGCUGGUUCCUGGACUCUAUUGUCUUGCAAUGCUGGAGAAGCCAUUUUCGUGGCAAGAUAAUGGUGUGCAUGACACAGGAGUUAUAUUACUCUUACGCUGGUUUUAUUUGGAUUGAAGAGAGCUCCCCGAAGUCGUAGG